UGGGGAAUAUUGCACAAUGGGCGCAAGCCUGAUGCAGCCAUGCCGCGUGUACGAAGAAGGCCUUCGGGUUGUAAAGUACUUUCAGCGAGGAGGAAGGCGUUGUGGUUAAUAACCGCAGCGAUUGACGUUACUCGCAGAAGAAGCACCGGCUAACUCCGUGCCAGCAGCCGCGGUAAUACGGAGGGUGCAAGCGUUAAUCGGAAUUACUGGGCGUAAAGCACACGCAGGCGGUCUGUCAAGUCGGAUGUGAAAUCCCCGGGCUCAACCUGGGAACUGCAUCCGAAACUGGCAGGCUAGAGUCUUGUAGAGGGGGGUAGAAUUCCAGGUGUAGCGGUGAAAUGCGUAGAGAUCUGGAGGAAUACCGGUGGCGAAGGCGGCCCCCUGGACAAAGACUGACGCUCAGGUGCGAAAGCGUGGGGAGCAAACA
rnacentral:rRNA from 1 species